rnacentral:rRNA from 1 species
GGGUGGUAAUGCCGGAUGCUCCAGUUGGAUGCAUGUCCUUCUGGGAAAGAUUCAUCGGUAUGGGAUGGGGUCGCGUCCUAUCAGCUUGAUGGCGGGGUAACGGCCCACCAUGGCUUCGACGGGUAGCCGGCCUGAGAGGGCGACCGGCCACAUUGGGACUGAGAUACGGCCCAGACUCCUACGGGAGGCAGCAGUGGGGAAUAUUGCACAAUGGGCGCAAGCCUGAUGCAGCGACGCCGCGUGCGGGAUGACGGCCUUCGGGUUGUAAACCGCUUUUGACUGGGAGCAAGCCCUUCGGGGUGAGUGUACCUUUCGAAUAAGCACCGGCUAACUACGUGCCAGCAGCCGCGGUAAUACGUAGGGUGCAAGCGUUAUCCGGAAUUAUUGGGCGUAAAGGGCUCGUAGGCGGUUCGUCGCGUCCGGUGUGAAAGUCCAUCGCUUAACGGUGGAUCCGCGCCGGGUACGGGCGGGCUUGAGUGCGGUAGGGGAGACUGGAAUUCCCGGUGUAACGGUGGAAUGUGUAGAUAUCGGAAAAGAACACCA